UCGAGAAUCUUCCACAAUGGACGAAAGUCUGAUGGAGCGACGCCGCGUGAUUGAUGAAGUCCUUCGGGACGUAAAGAUCUUUUAUGGGGGAGGAAGUAAUUGACGUUACCCCAUGAAUAAGAGGCUCCUAACUCUGUGCCAGCAGGAGCGGUAAUACAGAGGCCUCAAGCGUUACCCGGAAUCACUGGGCGUAAAGGGUGUGUAGGCGGUCGUGUUAGUCCUUCGUGAAAGGUCUUGGGCUUAACCCAGGAACCGCGGGGGAAACGGCACGACUUAGAGGAUGUGAGAGGUAAAGGGAACUCAUGGUGUAGGGGUGAAAUCCGUUGAUAUCAUGGGGAACACCAAAUGCGAAGGCACUUUACUGGCACACUCCUGACGCUGAAACACGAAAGCGUGGGAAUCGAACGGGAUUAGAUACCCCCGUAGUCC
rnacentral:rRNA from 1 species